rnacentral:rRNA from 1 species
GAGUUUGAUCCUGGCUCAGGACGAACGCUGGCGGCGCGCCUAACACAUGCAAGUCGAACGAAGUUAAGUUAGCUGAAGUUUUCGGAUGGAAGCAGACUUAGCUUAGUGGCGAACGGGUGAGUAACACGUGAGCAACCUGCCCUUCAGUGGGGGACAACAGUUGGAAACGACUGCUAAUACCGCAUAAGACCACAGUACCGCAUGGUAUCGUGAUCAAAGGAUUUAUUCGCUGAAGGAUGGACUCGCGCCUGAUUAGCUAGAUGGUGAGGUAAUGGCUCACCAUGGCAACGAUCAGUAGCCGGACUGAGAGGUCGAUCGGCCACAUUGGGACUGAGACACGGCCCAGACUCCUACGGGAGGCAGCAGUGGGAAUAUGCACAAUGGAGGAAACUCUGAUGCAGCGACGCCGCGUGAGGGAAGAAGGUUUCGGAUUGUAAACCUCUGUCUUCGAGGACGAAAAAAUAGACGGUACUCGAGGAGGAAGCCACGGCUAACUACGUGCCAGCCG